GUGGGGAAUAUUGGACAAUGGGCGAAAGCCUGAUCCAGCCAUGCCGCGUGUGUGAAGAAGGUCUUCGGAUUGUAAAGCACUUUAAGUUGGGAGGAAGGGCAGUAAGUUAAUACCUUGCUGUUUUGACGUUACCGACAGAAUAAGCACCGGCUAACUUCGUGCCAGCAGCCGCGGUAAUACGAAGGGUGCAAGCGUUAAUCGGAAUUACUGGGCGUAAAGCGCGCGUAGGUGGUUUUGUAAGUUGGAGGUGAAAUCCCCGGGCUCAACCUGGGAACUGCCUACAAAACUGAAUUACUAGAGUACGGUAGAGGGUAGUGGAAUUUCCUGUGUAGCGGUGAAAUGCGUAGAUAUAGGAAGGAACACCAGUGGCGAAGGCGACUACCUGGACUGAUACUGACACUGAGGUGCGAAAGCGUGGGGAGCAAACAGGAUUAGAUACCCCUGUAGUCC
rnacentral:rRNA from 1 species